CGGCGGACGGGUGAGUAACACGUGGGUAACCUACCUAUAAGACUGGGACAACUUCGGGAAACCGGAGCUAAUACCGGAUAAGAUAUCGAACCGCAUGGUUCGAUAGUGAAAGAUGGUUUUGCUAUCACUUAUAGAUGGACCCGCGCCGAUUAGCUAGUUGGUGAGGUAACGGCUCACCAAGGCAACGAUACGUAGCCGACCUGAGAGGGUGAUCGGCCACACUGGAACUGAGACACGGUCCAGACUCCUACGGGAGGCAGCAGGC
rnacentral:rRNA from 1 species